GACGAACCGUGCGAACGUUAUUCGGAAUCACUGGGCUUAAAGCGCGUGUAGGCGGGCCGGCACGUCGACUGCUGAAAGCCCCCGGCUCAACCGGGGAACGGGCAUCGAUACGACCGGCCUGGAGGGGGGUAGGGGGAGCCGGAACUCACGGUGGAGCGGUGAAAUGCGUUGAGAUCGUGAGGAACGCCCGUGGCGAAAGCGGGCUCCUGGACCCCACCUGACGCGGAGACGCGAAAGCCAGGGGAGCGAACGGGAUUAGAUAACCCGGUAGUCCUGGCCGUAAACCAUGAGCACUGGGUAGGGGGCUCGCCGAUGGGCUCCCUGCCGCAGCGAAAGCGUGAAGUGCUCCGCCUGGGGAGUAUGGUCGCAAGGCUGAA
rnacentral:rRNA from 1 species